GGCAGGGUAGCUCAAUGGUAGAGCGAGAGAAUCAUAACCUCUAGGUUGUGGGUUCGAUUCCCACCCCUGUCACUA
rnacentral:tRNA from 1 species